rnacentral:rRNA from 1 species
UUGACCUCAAAUCAGGUAGGACUACCCGCUGAACUUAAGCAUAUCAAUAAGCGGAGGAAAAGAAACUAACAAGGAUUCCCCUAGUAACUGCGAGUGAAGCGGGAAGAGCUCAAAUUUGAAAUCUGGCGGUUCCUUGGACCGUCCGAGUUGUAAUCUAGAGAAGUGCUACCUGUGCUGGACCGUGUACAAGUCUUCUGGAAUGGAGCAUCACAGAGGGUGAGAAUCCCGUCUUUGACACGGACUGCCUGUGCGAUAUGGUGCGCUCUCGAAGAGUCGAGUUGUUUGGGAAUGCAGCUCAAAAUGGGUGGUAAAUGCCAUCUAAAGCUAAAUAUUGGCGAGAGACCGAUAGCGAACAAGUACCGUGAGGGAAAGAUGAAAAGAACUUUGGAAAGAGAGUUAAACAGUACGUGAAAUUGCUGAAAGGGAAACGCUUGAAGUCAGUCGCGUCRGCUGGAAAUCAGUCUUGCUUCUGCUUGAUGUACUUUCUGGUCUGACGGGUCAGCAUCAGUUUUGACCGCUGGAUAAAGUCAUUGGGAAUGUGGCAUCUCAGGAUGUGUUAUAGCCCGUUGUCGCAUACAGUGGUUGGGAUUGAGGAGCUCAGCACGCCGCAAGGCCGGGUCCUUCUUGGAUCACGUUCGUGCUUAGGAUGCUGGCAUAAUGGCUUUAAUCGACCCGUC